rnacentral:misc_RNA from 1 species
GUCGUGGCGGCCCUCGUCCUUGAGGAUGCGGACGAAGGUGUUCAUGGACACCUCAUCAGGCGCGACACCCCGGGUCCGCAUGUGGCGGAGCAGGAGGAGGGCUCCCCGCGCCAACCCGGCCUUGGCGAGUGCGUCGGCGAGGGCUGCGUAGGCCGGGUUGGAGGGUGGGAAGGGCAUCCCGAUCCAGGCGCGGUGGAGCUCGGCCCACCGGCGCGCGCGGGCGAGGUGGCGCAGGAGGACGGCGUCAUGGACGGGGUUGGGGGCGUAUCCGGGGAGCGCGCGCAGGCGGUUGAAGAGGUCCCUGGCGCGGCGCCAGCAGCGCUGCCGCGAGAGGAGGGAGGUCUGUUCCCGUGGGGACAUGGAGGAGAGAACCUCGUCGAAGGGUUGGAGUGCGGAGGAAGCGUGGCU